CCCCGAUCCAUACCGAGCAUCCAUGUACCCUCACCGGCAGUGCCCAAACUGACGAUGGCCAAGUGUCGACGUAAUGUAGAGAACUUCCUAGAGGCCUGCCGCAGAAUUGGAGUUCCUCAGGAUAGUUUGUGUUCAGCGGGUGACGUCCUAAAAGGGGAGGUGGUUUGU